AGCAGCCGCGGUAAUUCCAGCUCCAAUAGCGUAUAUUAAAGUUGUUGCAGUUAAAAAGCUCGUAGUUGAAUUUCGAGACCGGCUUACUGGUCGUGCUUUUGUACGUACUGGUGUAAUCGGUUUCUCCUUUCUGACGAACUAUAAUGCCAUUAAUUUGGUGUUAUAGGGAAUCAGGACUGUUGCUUUGAAAAAUUAGAGUGUUUAAAGCAGGCUCACGCUUGAAUACAUUAGCAUGGAAUAACGGAAUAGGACGUUUGAUUCUAUUUUGUUGGUUUCUAGGAUCGACGUAAUGAUUAAUAGGGAUAGUUGGGGCAUUAGUAUUCAAUUGUCAGAGG
rnacentral:rRNA from 1 species